rnacentral:rRNA from 1 species
UACGUAGGGUGCAAGCGUUAAUCGGAAUUACUGGGCGUAAAGCGUGCGCAGGCGGUUAUGCAAGACAGAUGUGAAAUCCCCGGGCUCAACCUGGGAACUGCAUUUGUGACUGCAUGGCUAGAGUACGGUAGAGGGGGAUGGAAUUCCGCGUGUAGCAGUGAAAUGCGUAGAUAUGCGGAGGAACACCGAUGGCGAAGGCAAUCACCUGGGGUUGUUCUGACGCUGAGGAGCGAAAGCUAGGGGAGCAAACGGG